AAUAGAUACCCUGGUAGUCCACGCCGUAAACGGUGGGCACUAGGUGUGGGCAACAUUCCACGUUGCCCGUGCCGCAGCUAACGCAUUAAGUGCCCCGCCUGGGGAGUACGGCCGCAAGGCUAAACUCAAAGGAAUUGACGGGGGCCCGCACAAGCGGCGGAGCAUGUGGCUUAAUUCGACGCAACGCGAAGAACCUUACCAAGGCUUGACAUACACCGGAAAGCAUCAGAGAUGGUGCCCCCCUUGUGGUCGGUGUACAGGUGGUGCAUGGCUGUCGUCAGCUCGUGUCGUGAGAUGUUGGGUUAAGUCCCGCAACGAGCGCAACCCUUGUCCCGUGUUGCCAGCAACUCUUCGGAGGUUGGGGACUCACGGGAGACCGCCGGGGUCAACUCGGAGGAAGGUGGGGACGACGUCAAGUCAUCAUGCCCCUUAUGUCUUGGGCUGCACACGUGCUACAAUGGCCGGUACAAUGAGCUGCGAUACCGCAAGGUGGAGCGAAUCUACAAAACGCCGGUCUCAGUUCGGAUUGGGGU
rnacentral:rRNA from 1 species